ensembl:snoRNA predicted gene, 22888
AGGGAAAAGACGAUGAUGUUUUUCCAAGCACAUAUCUGAUUUAUGUGUGGAUGACAAUCAAACUGAGUCUUUUCCAA